CGGAAAUUCCUCACUCGUUCAUCCCGUGAUGAUUGUGUUUUCAGCCACCGUUUUCACAGACUUGAAUUAUGGGGAGUUUCAGGCACUGAAGUGAACAUAAUUGUACACUUGCAAAGCCUAUCUAAAAACGAGCGCUGAAGGGUUUACGUUGUAAACUUCCCUUGCUUGGCUAAUCAUUUGGACCGCACUCCAAGAUGGCGACAGGGAUUGCCCCAAGGGCAUAAGGCAAGGGUAAGUGGACGAGGGUGUGUCUUUUAAAUGUUUGGACCGUAGACAGUGUCUCACCCUGGAUGGUUCAGAAAGUACUGACAUCUACUGACGUCCUGCACGUCGAUGCCCAGCAGGGAUCCCAAGCCAUGGGACAUGAAGACAGAGCCCAUGUGGACCUUCAGCAUUAACUCCACACUCCCACGCAGGAUCCCAAUCUUCACCAGCUCCUGCAGAACCCGGUCAGCCAGACGGUGCAUCUCUGUCCACUUGACCUCUGAAACGCAAGACUUGUUUUGUGGACUGGAUCUAGUAUUCACUAUUAAAGGCAUAGCCCAUUUGAUUUGCUCACAAGCAUAUAUGGAUGAAGGGAGCUGACACUUGAUUUAGACAUAUUUGACAGUAUGCAUGUGUUUAAUGAGAGCCAUGAUGGUCCGUGAUGACGUCAGCAAAGCCUCAGAGUGUUUUCUCCACCCAUGUCAAACAGACAAUAAAUUGUUCCCAGCAUGCACAUCAGAAUGGAUAAAAGUUUUGAGCGGAGGCGGUUUGCCUUUCAAAGGUGCUCAUGUUGUGUCACCAUGGGCGCUCCAAACAGCCACUUUAAAUCUCCCAUCAGUAUCCCUAUGCACACAGCAGCCUGCCUCAGGUUCAAAUACAGUCAAGCUGUGCUAUGUUUAUGAAUAAACCCAUGGGAGAGCCACUCAGGGCUAC
ensembl:lncRNA